rnacentral:rRNA from 1 species
AGCGAACGCUGGCGGCAGGCUUAACACAUGCAAGUCGAGCGGGCAUCCUUGUGGUGUCAGCGGCAGACGGGUGAGUAACGCGUGGGAACGUGCCCUUCGGUUCGGAAUAACUCAGGGAAACUUGAGCUAAUACCGCAUACGCCCUUUUGGGGAAAGGUUUACUGCCGAAGGAUCGGCCCGCGUCUGAUUAGCUAGUUGGUGAGGUUAUGGCUCACCAAGGCGACGAUCAGUAGCUGGUCUGAGAGGAUGAUCAGCCACACUGGGACUGAGACACGGCCCAGACUCCUACGGGAGGCAGCAGUGGGGAAUAUUGGACAAUGGGGGCAACCCUGAUCCAGCCAUGCCGCGUGAGUGAUGACGGCCUUAGGGUUGUAAAGCUCUUUUCUCCGGGACGAUAAUGACGGUACCGGAGGAAUAAGCCCCGGCUAACUUCGUG